UUAACACAAAAUUGUAUGCAGUUGGAACGUUUGCCGCUAGGGGCUCUGUUCCAACUGCAUACAAAUUUGUGUUA
rfam:Bombyx mori DNA, contig: Bm_scaf45_contig24700, strain: p50T/Dazao, build 2, whole genome shotgun sequence.